rnacentral:rRNA from 1 species
GACAGCAGUCGCCACGGGAAUACGUAGGGUGCGAGCGUUGUCCGGAAUUACUGGGCGUAAAGAGCUCGUAGGUGGUCUGUCGCGUCAUUUGUGAAAGCCCGGGGCUUAACUCCGGGUUGGCAGGUGAUACGGGCAUGACUGGAGUACUGUAGGGGAGACUGGAAUUCCUGGUGUAGCGGUGAAAUGCGCAGAUAUCAGGAGGAACACCGGUGGCGAAGGCGGGUCUCUGGGCAGUAACUGACGCUGAGGAGCGAAAGCAUGGGUAGCGAACAGGAUUAGAUACCCCUGUAGUCCCUGUCUCUUAUA